rnacentral:rRNA from 1 species
AUUGAACGCUGGCGGCAUGCUUUACACAUGCAAGUCGAACGGUAACAGGCCUUCGGGUGCUGACGAGUGGCGAACGGGUGAGUAAUGCAUCGGAACGUGCCCAAUCGUGGGGGAUAACGUAGCGAAAGUUACGCUAAUACCGCAUAAGCCCUGAGGGGGAAAGUGGGGGACCGCAAGGCCUCACGCGAAUGGAGCGGCCGAUGUCAGAUUAGCUAGUUGGUGGGGUAAAGCCCACCAAGGCGACGAUCUGUAGCGGGUCUGAGAGGAUGAUCCGCCACGCUGGGACUGAGACACGGCCCAGACUCCUACGGGAGGCAGCAGUGGGGAAUAUUGGACAAUGGGCGCAAGCCUGAUCCAGCAAUGCCGCGUGUGUGAAGAAGGCCUGCGGGUUGUAAAGCACUUUCAGUGGGAAGGAACAG